UAUUUUAAAAAACUAGAGAAAACAUUUAUUGAGCCUCAGCGGCAGCAGUCCAGUCACUAGUUUGGGCGGCACCAGUAGUAUUCCAGUCACCAGCACCUUCCCAAGUAUUCUCACCGACUUGUCCAGCAGUAGCGGCAGCAAGAACAUUAGGAUCAACAGAGCCAGCAGCACUAUCAGUGAUCUCGAAUUCAGCAGCAGCAACAGCCUCUUCGACUUGAGCUUCCUCGGCAGCGGCAGCAGCAGCUUUCUUAGCUUCCUCUUCACGUUCAACUUCUUCGGGAUCACGGUAGAAGUAAAGAUCAGGCAUGACAUCCCAAGGAGCGGAACGAGAAAGGGUACCACGAACACGAAGAACUUCACGAGCCAGGAGGUACCAGAUCAAACCAAUGGAUUUACGGCCCUUGUUGUUAGUAGGGAUAGCAAUAUCAACAUGGUUCAAUAUAGAGUCAGUAUCGCAAAGAGCAAUAACUGGAAUGUUGACGAAAGAAGCCUCCUUGAUAGCUUGAGCAUCGGCACGGGGAUCAGUGACGACGAUGAGACGAGGCUCACGGUAAGUACGAGUAAUGUAGUUGGUGAAGUUACCAGGAGUAAAGCGGCCAGCGAUGGCAGUAGCACCAGUGUGAGCAGCAAAUUUCAAAACAGCACGAUGUCCAUAAGUACGAGUUGAAACAACGCAAACAUCGGCAGGGUUUUCAAUAGUUGCGAUGACACGAGCAGCCAAAACCAACUUUUCCCAGGUCUUACCAAGGUUUAAAAUGUGGACGCCAUCACUACGACGUUUCCAGACGUAGUUAUCCAUGCGGACCUCCAAGUUCUUGGAGCCAAUGUGGCAGUUGGCAGCGAGGAGCUGCUUGAUGUCCUCAUCCUAAAUUCAGUGUCAGUACUUUAACUAAUCAUUCUGUCUAUAUUUCUUGACUUACAGUAGCAUUCAGUAUGUUGGGGCGUCCGACCUGUGCCAUUGCUAAGAUGAAGUAUUCAAAUGAGCUGUGUCGCUCAUUUUCUAACCAAAUUCCCAGACCUGAAACUGUGACUGCCUUCUUGCAACGCUACAAACCGGAUAGAUGUAGACCAUCCUCGUUAAAUGUAUUUUGGUGAGCUGAGUUAUGCUCGCAAUACCAGUAUAUCACAUUGUAUCUUUUAUUCGUUAAACAUGGAUCAUUGAAUUGAAUAUAUCAUUUUAUUGGUACCAUAAUCUACGCAAAGGCAAAAUGGUUUUUAUCCACCAUUGAAUAUUACAGAGUAUUCAAUAUAAAACGAAAUUAAUGAAUUUUAUUUUAGUUUCUUCAUAAGAUUAUUUGUCGAAAAUGCAGAUAAUUAUCGUUAAACUAGUAAUUAGCGUUAAAGGUGGUUAUGAUAGAAAGAGUGUGUCUAGUUAUAGGUUUUAUGAAUUGUUAGCCAACAAAAUAACCGUUUCUUUGUAAACUUUUUGUAACACAUCAUGUCUCGGCAGAAGUGUAGGGAAAACAACAUGGAUUUCAGUUUCAGACUCGAUAGCAAUUCCCAUGUAGUAACAAACGUCAAAUUUUCGAAAUCCCUCAUUAAUGAAAAUAUCUCGAAUUGAAUCCAAAGGAAUAAGUUUUGAAGACGAUUUCCAUGGUACUAUUGAAUGGCAGUUUGUUUGAACACCUAAAUCCCGAAUUACAAAGAGCGAUUCAUCUAGUAAAAUGUAAG